rnacentral:misc_RNA from 1 species
UCCGGUUUGGCACCGGCAGUCCUCCCAGAGUCCUCAGCAUUACCUGUUAGCAACUGGCGACAGGGGUUUCGCUCGUUAAGGGACUUAACCCGACACUUCACAGCACGAGCUGACGACAGCCAUGCAGCACCUGUGCACGUUCCACUCAGAGAGCGUCACCGAUGUUUCCACCGGCUAAUCCGUGCAUGUCAAGCCUAGGAUAAGGUUCUUCGCGUUGCUUCGAAUUGAGCCACAUGCUCCACCGCUUGUGUGAGCCCCCGUCAAUUCCUUUGAGUUUUAGCCUUGCGACCGUACUCCCCAGGCGGUGCACUCAUCGUUUUUACUUCGACCGAGAGAGGCGUCAGUACCUUCCUCGAUCUCGUGCACAUCGUUUACAGCGUGGACUAC